AUACGGAGGAUCCGAGCGCUAUCCGGAUUUAUUGGGUUUAAAGGGAGCGUAGGUGGAUUGUUAAGUCAGUUGUGAAAGUUUGCGGCUCAACCGUAAAAUUGCAGUUGAAACUGGCAGUCUUGAGUACAGUAGAGGUGGGCGGAAUUCGUGGUGUAGCGGUGAAAUGCUUAGAUAUCACGAAGAACUCCGAUUGCGAAGGCAGCUCACUAGACUGUUACUGACACUGAUGCUCGAAAGUGUGGGUAUCAAACAGGAUUAGAUACCCUGGUAGUCCACACAGUAAACGAUGAAUACUCGCUGUUUGCGAUAUACAGUAAGCGGCCAAGCGAAAGCAUUAAGUAUUCCACCUGGGGAGUACGAUCGCAAGAUUGAAACUCAAAGGAAUUGGCGGGG
rnacentral:rRNA from 1 species